rnacentral:rRNA from 1 species
GAGUGAACGCUGGCGGUAGGCCUAACCCAUGCAAGUCGAACGGCAGCACAGUAAGAGCUUGCUCUUACGGGUGGCGAGUGGCGGACGAGUGAGGAAUACAUCGGAAUCUACUUUUUCGUGGGGGAUAACGUAGGGAAACUUACGCUAAUACCGCAUACGACCUACGGGUGAAAGCAGGGGAUCUUCGGACCUUGCGCGAUUGAAUGAGCCGAUGUCGGAUUAGCUAGUUGGCGGGGUAAAGGCCCACCAAGGCGACGAUCCGUAGCUGGUCUGAGAGGAUGAUCAGCCACACUGGAACUGAGACACGGUCCAGACUCCUACGGGAGGCAGCAGUGGGGAAUAUUGGACAAUGGGCGCAAGCCUGAUCCAGCCAUACCGCGUGGGUGAAGAAGGCCUUCGGGUUGUAAAGCCCUUUUGUUGGGAAAGAAAAGCAGCAGGUUAAUACCCCGCUGUUCUGACGGUACCCAAAGAAUAAGCACCGGCUAACUUCGUG